rnacentral:rRNA from 1 species
UCUGCCUCCGGGUGGGGAAUAACUCGCCGAAAGGUGAGCUAAUACCGCAUAAUGCAGCGGCACCAAAUGGUGAAUAGUUGUUAAAGCGGGGGACCCUUCGGGGCCUCGCGCCUGGAGAGGAGCCUGCGGCAGAUUAGCUAGUUGGUGGGGUAAUGGCUCACCAAGGCUUCGAUCUGUAGCUGGUCUGAGAGGACGGCCAGCCACACUGGCACUGACACACGGGCCAGACUCCUACGGGAGGCAGCAGUGGGGAAUUUUGGGCAAUGGGCGCAAGCCUGACCCAGCAACGCCGCGUGAGGGAGGAAAUCCUUCGGGAUGUAAACCUCGCAAGCAAGGGAAGAGCGCUACAGAUCGAAUAAGUCUGUAGUCCGACGGUACCUUGCGUAAGCCACGGCUAACUA